rnacentral:rRNA from 1 species
UGGGGAAUUUUGGACAAUGGGCGCAAGCCUGAUCCAGCCAUGCCGCGUGCGGGAAGAAGGCCUUCGGGUUGUAAACCGCUUUUGUCAGGGAAGAAAUCUUCUGAGUUAAUACCUCGGGAGGAUGACGGUACCUGAAGAAUAAGCACCGGCUAACUACGUGCCAGCAGCCGCGGUAAUACGUAGGGUGCAAGCGUUAAUCGGAAUACUGGGCGUAAAGCGUGCGCAGGCGGUUUUGUAAGACAGAGGUGAAAUCCCCGGCGUCAACCUGGGAACUGCCUUUGUGACUGCAAGGCUUGAGUGCGGCAGAGGGGGAUGGAAUUCCGCGUGUAGCAGUGAAAUGCGUAGAUAUGCGGAGGAACACCGAUGGCGAAGGCAAUCCCCUGGGCCUGCACUGACGCUCAUGCACGAAAGCGUGGGGAGCAAACAGGAUUAGAUACCCUGGUAGUCCACGCCCUAAACGAUGUCAACUGGUUGUUGGGAAGGUUCCUUCUCAGUAACGUAGCUAACGCGUGAAGUUGACCGCCUGGGGAGUACGGCCGCAAGGUUGAAACUCAAAUGAAUUGACGGGG